rnacentral:rRNA from 1 species
UAAGAGCCGCCUGCCCUGUGACCAUGAGUUUAACGGCCGCGGUAUUUUGACCGUGCAAAGGUAGCGCAAUCACUUGUCUUUUAAAUGAAGACCUGUAUGAAUGGCACGACGAGGGCUUAACUGUCUCCUUUUUCCAGUCAAUGAAAUUGAUCUUCCCGUGCAGAAGCGGGAAUAUGAACAUUAGACGAGAAGACCCUAUGGAGCUUUAGACAUCAGGACAGCCCAUGUCAAACACCCCUAUUCAAAGGACUGAACUUAUUGGACCCUGCCCUAAUGUCUUUGGUUGGGGCGACCACGGGGAAACACAAAACCCCCAUGUGGACCAGGAACACUUUUUCCUACAACUAAGAGUUACAGCUCUAAUUAACAGAACUUCUGACCAGAAAUGAUCCGGCAAUGCUGAUUCAACGGACCGAGUUACCCUAGGGAUAACAGCGCAAUCCCCUUUAGAGCCCAUAUCGACGAGGGGGUUUACGGCCUCGAUGUUGGAUCAGGACUCCUAAUGGUGCAGCCGCUAUUAAGGUUCGUUUGUUCAACGAUUAAUC